rnacentral:rRNA from 1 species
UACGUAGGUGACCAGCGUUGUCCGGAUUUACUGGGCGUAAAGAGCGCGCAGGCGGUCGUUCAAGUCGAGUGUGAAAGCCCCCGGCUCAACUGGGGAGGGUCAUUCGAUACUGAUCGACUUGAAGGCAGGGAGAGGGAAGUGGAAUGCCCGGUGUAGUGGUGAAAUGCGUAGAUAUCGGGAGGAACACCAGUGGCGAAGGCGACUUCCUGGCCUGUUCUUGACGCUGAGGCGCGAAAAGCUAGGGGAGCAAACGGGG